GCAUUUUUGGAUAUAUAUAAAGCGGUAAAGAAAUAAAUGACACGCGCGCACACACUUUUUAUUUAUGAUUUACAUGGAAUAUUACGGCUUGCAUGUAGAUGAAAUUAGUUUCAAACAAUUAAAGUUUAACGGAAUACCAACUCUAAACCGCAACAUCAGCGAAUAGCAGCAAACUUUAAAGUUUAAUGGAAUAUUAUGUCUUUAUUAUAGAUCACAUACAUCAUUAAAUGAAUGAACUUAGAAUGUAGUUUUUUGCUUAUAUUAAUGACCGGAGGGUGUACGUGUAAUAGCAAUGAAACAAAGGGACAUUGGUAACACUAUAUCAAAACACAUUCAUAUUCUACUAAAACAAAAAUCAUUUCAACUCUUUUAACACUCUCUCUCUCUCUCUCUCUCUCUCUCUAUCUCUCUCAUGUGUUCGAGCUAACCAGAAGCAAACGUUCAAACAUGGACGCAAAGCUAAAUGUGCGAAUCACAGGAUAAUGCUACUAGAGUUAUUGCCGAGGGUCUGUGACCGGAUCAGAAAAUGGUGUCAAAAGUAAUGACCCGGAAUCCUUUAUUUGUGACAUCAAAUACGUUGGCUAUUGAUGCUCUACAAAAGAUGGUCUAAGAACAAAAAGUUUAAUACUGUAAAAGAUUUGAAGAAGAAAGAAAGGAAAAGACAUGGGAAGACAGGGGAAAUAGAGUACAAUUAUACCUGUGACUAUGUUAUAAUUUAUAGAGUACAUGUUACAUUGGAUGAAAACUUGCAAUCGUUUUAGUAUGUAAUUCAAAAUGUGUUGCAUAGUGCAUAGUUCAUUUUCAUUAUGCAAGACAGGGGAAAUUUUAUAGAGUAUGUAAUUCAAAUUGGUUAUUAAAACUUCUCUCUAAUAUGUUAAUUCAAAUAUGAGUGAAGUCAGAGCCCGAUCAGGGUCAAACGACGUAUGAAUGUCGAUAUUUUAAGUCAAAAUUUGGGGUAUGACAAUAUCCAAUUGUUUUUUUCAUA